rnacentral:rRNA from 1 species
GAUGAACGCUGGCGGCGUGCCUAAUACAUGCAAGUCGAGCGAACGGACGAGAAGCUUGCUUCUCUGAUGUUAGCGGCGGACGGGUGAGUAACACGUGGAUAACCUACCUAUAAGACUGGGAUAACUUCGGGAAACCGUAGCUAAUACCGGAUAAUAUUUUGAACCGCAUGGUUCAAAAGUGAAAGACGGUCUUGCUGUCACUUAUAGAUGGAUCCGCGCUGCAUUAGCUAGUUGGUAAGGUAACGGCUUACCAAGGCAACGAUGCAUAGCCGACCUGAGAGAGUGAUCGGCCACACUGGAACUGAGACACGGUCAAGACUCCUACGGGAGGCAGCAGUAGGGAAUCUUCCGCAAUGGGCGAAAGCCUGACGGAGCAACGCCGCGUGAGUGAUGAAGGCCUUCGGAUCGUAAAACUCUGUUAUUAGGGAAGAACAUAUGUGUAAGUAACUGUGCACAUCUUGACGGUACCUAAUAAGAAAGCCACGGCUAACUACGUG